UCUACGUGUCAAUAAACGAUUCGCCAGGGGAUCAUGAGUAUUACGUUUACUCCGUCUUUCUUCUGCCCAAAAUGGAGAGCAGCCGUCGGUUUCUUUCGCUUGCGGUUCCUUCGACGAGGGUUUGGAUGCAGGGGAUCCCGAUGACUGGAAGCGAUCGCGUCGAUCAGGGUUAGCGCAAGGUCGAGGGGGGUUUCCUCCGUCUUCGUGUCUUCGAUCUCGGGGAUGUCGACGACAACGAGGCCUCCGAGCCCGGGCCGAGGCGCCAGCAUCGACCGGACCCCUCUCCUUGGCGUGGCUCAUCGGUCCGGGUGGAGUGCCAGCCUCCGUGGCUCCGCCCGGUUCCUACGCCGGACGAGCGGCCGGCGGAUGAUAAGGGCGCCAUCGGUGAUGGUGCGGGAGAUGGCCGCGGAGCAUCUGGAGCAGCGCCAGACAUCCUGUGGAACCUGACCUUCAUAGGCGUUGUUAUUGGGGUGCUGAUCUUGAGCUGGCAUGAGACACCGUCGAUGCCUUUUCGACUGUGGAUCUUUGGGUACGUGCUCCAGUGCGUGCUGCAUAUGGUAUGUGUUUGCGUGGGAUACCGGCGAAGGCACCCUCCCGAGGGUGCUGUUGUGGACGUGGAAGUGGGAGGAGGUCGGGCUCAAAUUCACCGAGGGCGGUGGAAGAAUCUGAUGACGAUGAGCAGAACCAAGACGAUGAUAGGACUAGGAAGGUGCAUCUGAACAAGAUAUACACCAACUUCCAAAAUACAAAUUUCAUAAGGUUGGAGAUUCUGAAAAACUCGAGAUGUCAGGAUCUUCUGGUGGAAUCAUGACGGAGUGUGGCAGUGAUUCACUAGUGCAGCAUGUUCUUUUAGCAGAGGAUGCUAUAAGUUCUAUAGUUUCCUGUUAAGUUUUACAUUUUUUUUACUUCCUUUUCGCUUUGUGGUUCAUUACAUGUCGUUAUGCUAAAUUAUGAUCUUUAAAUUUAGUCUUGAUCAGCAUCUGCUUUCCUGUCCUCGUCUGUUUAAUGCACUUGUAUACCCCCACUGUCAUGGUCUUGAAGAAAAUUAAUUCAUUAGAUUUUUAUA